GACAGAGGUUGCAAACGUUGUUCGGAAUCACUGGGCAUAAAGCGCACGUAGGCGGUCUGUUAAGUCAGAUGUGAAAGCCCCCGGCUCAACCGGGGAACUGCAUUUGAUACUGGCAGGCUCGAGAACGGUAGGGGUGAGUGGAACUCCAGGUGGAGCGGUGAAAUGCGUAGAUAUCUGGAGGAACACCGGUGGCGAAAGCGGCUCACUGGACCGUCACUGACGCUGAGGUGCGAAAGCUAGGGUAGCAAACGGGAUUAGAUACCCCGGUAGUCCUAGCCGUAAACGAUGGGUACUGGGUAGGGGGGAUGCCUAUGGUCCUCUCUGCCGGAGCUAAUGUGUUAAGUACCCCGCCUGGGGAGUACGCUCGCAAGGGUAAA
rnacentral:rRNA from 1 species